AAGAUAGCUAAUUUCCCCUCCCUAUCUCAUGAAAGGUGAAAACUUUCAAUGAUCCUAUUAAUUGUAACAAAUGAAUGAGACCAAAUCUGAUUGCAAAAAAUGAACAACCUAGCUGAAUAUGUAAUGAUAAGAAACUGGAUUCUGUAAGGUGGCCAAAUGAAACCUAAAAACUAUAUCAUUUCAGGAAAGGCAUUAAGUUGCAUUCUGUGAAUGGCAAGGAUUUAAAAGGUUUUAUCAGCGUAUGAAAGGAGAGCCAGCCAGGAGGCACAACCAAGCCUAUGACCCAACUAAGAUUUAAAUUGGUUGAAACCCCAGCUGGUCUAAAUAACAUGCUUUUUCUUUUGGUUUUAUAUCUAGGACAAAAUAGAAUCAAGUCUCUAUAAUAUUACUGUACCCCAGGGCUGCCACUGCUCCUUUGACACCGUGUACCAAUAAGAAAAAGACAUCUCUUCCUCCAGGUAGCCCCUGGAAAGAUAGCUUUUAAAAGCAGAGUGAGAACUGUAGUUCAGGCCUCCCUCCCCCCUUUGGCCAGGCGCCCUCGUGCAAAGCACAGCCUGCAUAGGUCUGCUGUUCCUUUUAGGAAGUUUUAAGAAAUAAAUGUGGUAAAAUUACUGCCACCCCAGAAAGGUAUAAGGAUAAGAAUCACAGAGACAUUAACUUCAACCUGUGGUAAUGGUAUGUUAGUAGCAAUUUAAAUACCAAUUUUGUCAUUAUUGUGAAAUUUUGUGCAUAUUGUUUGCUUCUAAACAUAAAUCUAAUAAUUUCAAUUAAUAUUGUCAGACUAUGUUGAUAAAAUAAGGUUUGUGAUCGAUGCUUAAAUGUCUGGGAAAGUUGCAGUUGUUAAGUUUAAACAUUUUGAUUUCCUAGUUGUGUUCAGUGUUUACAGGAAUUUUAUUUCAUAGACAUGAAAGAUUAAAAAUUUGGGCAUCAAGGUAAGUAUAAAUUGGAGUGUUCCUCUUUUCACACGUGUCCCUUAGAGUGUGGACAUUUAAGAUCUAAGUAGUAAUAGGUAGAGGAAAUGGAAAUAAAGUCACAAUGAGGGGGGGAGAAAAAUAUUAAGAAAAGGAGGACAGAAGGAUGAUAUUAAAGGCAGAGAAAGGGAGAGGACAGAAGUAAAAUGUAAGACAAAAGCAAUAGGAGAGCAGAGGAAUUCAGAGAGCUCUAAAGGGUUAUUGUAGGUCAACUGCUUAUUUCAUACACGGUUUUUACCUCUUUGUUCUUUAAUAUCUGGUUUACUUUUCAAGUGUUUAUUAAAAAAAAAGGUGUGGGGGGGGCAGCCCAGGUGGCUCAGCGGUUUAGCGCUGCCUUCAGCCCAGGGCCUGAUCCUGGAGACCCGGGAUGGAGUCCCUCGUUGGGCUCCCUGCAUGGAGCCUGCUUCUCUCUCUGCCUCUGUCUCUCUGUGUGUCUUAGGAAUAAAUAAAUAAAAUCUUAAAAAAAAAAAAAAAAAAAA
rnacentral:lncRNA from 1 species